UCCCUGGAGACAGUCAGACCUCAGAUGGACAUAGUUGUGAGAAACCUAUUCUAACUAUAAAAGUCAGCCCUGCUUUUGGAAGUUGGCUGGACUAAAUGGCCUCACAGAGUCCUUUCAAAUGGGAAUUACUCUAUCAUUCACCUAUAUUCUGCAGAAACCAUCUUGCAGAUAUCUGCAUAGCAGAGACUCCCACAAGCCUUAAUACACCUUUUCCUUGUCUAUUUGUCUGCCUAGGGUAGAGGAGCAGAGGGGGGAAGGGUGGAACGCAGCCUGCAAAAACUGUUCCUUGGGAUUAGCACUGUUACUCCCACAGAAAGGGAAGGAAGUUUAGCCUCCAGCUUAAUAUGGAAUGAAAAUGAUGGCACUUAGAGACCCAGCAACACUGUAAGAUGCUGAGAGCAACGCCCACCUCUCAUGCUUACCUGUACUUUUAAACCAUGAUGUGUCUCCCAGAAUGCUUCCCUACACACAACCUGUAUUACCAUUAGUGGGAAAAAAAGCCUACAGGAUGCUUUAAUGCAGCUAGCAAGCGCACUCUCUGUGGCUGGGAUUUUUAGUUGAAAACCUAUACGUACUUACAAGAUGCAGAUUACCACCCUAGAACAAAACAACAUAACUAGACCCCUAGGACCACGACUGCAAAAACAGUUUGCUGAGAAGGAGAUAGCCAGCCUCGGAGAUACUGCUUUAUCUUAAAUAUAUCUUGCUUCUGGCAAGCUAACAUGAAGCUGCAGUAAUACUAUAUUUUUCAUGACUCUUGGAUCAAUACAGAGCUAUAUGCUGUGUGCUGGAAUAGCUACAUUACAUGUGAGGUGCUUUUCAAGCUUUUGUUACUCUGCAUUUUUAGUUCAGUUAGAAAUACUUGGAAGGAAUGCCCAUCUAAUCAUGAAAGUCUGAUAUUUUGUUGGUGCGUGUCAAGUCUUUACCAUCAGCAGGUGCUCAGAGGAUAUGCAGACAAAGAGAAGAAAAAGAGCACAGUAAAGAAGAAACAGUCUUUGCUUUUUACAUUACUGCCAUUCUGAGUCAAGUUCCCAGGGAGCAUAAGCUGCUACAUAGAGAGGCAAAAAGCUUGCUUUUCCCUGAGCAAAAUACCAACAAGGAAAGUUUUAAGAUGGUCUGUGCAAACAUUAAUUCUACAGUAGCUCUAAAACAAUGUACUGCCAUUACUUGGAGAAGAUUGCAUAGUUAUGAUGUAUCUAAAAGAUGAAUCAGAGAUUCUAAUGUGCAGAGGAAAAACUAAUAAGGAGUCAAAAACUAUCAAGUAACUGAGACUAUGGCUGUUUGUACUGUAUCUCAUAAGGUCACAAAAAGGAAUUGCGUACAUACUUGUGAAUGUUCUUGUAUAUUGCUUAAAAAUACACAGGCAUGAAUGAAUAUUCUGGAAUAUUCCAAAAUGUUCCUGAAAUUUUCCACCACAGACUUGCCUCUCAAGAAAAAUAAUCUUGAUCAUAUUUGGACUUGUACGCUGUUAUGAGGCCUUUCCUAAGCCUUCUCUGCUCUGGGCUGAGCAAACCCAGGGACCUCAGCUACUCCUCACACACCUUGCCCUCAGAUGCUUCCCCAUCUUUGUAGCCCUCUCUUGGCUGCUCUCUAACACAUUUAUAUUCAUCUUAUGUAGUGACACUCAAACCUGCACCCAGUACUGGAGGUGAGGCUGCACAGCUCAGAGGAGAGUGGAACAGCCACUUUCCUCGCCUGGCAGUGCUG
rnacentral:lncRNA from 1 species